CUGAAUGCUGCUGUCCCCAAGGAGGAGGCUGCCGUCUUAUCCCAGGAGGGAGAGCAGGUGAAGUCCCCAGGGGAGGAAGCACCUAGCCCCAUUCCUGCUGAGCAGGAGGUGGCAGGUACCCCAGACUGGGAGGUAAGGACAGCCUGGGGCUUCAACUGGAACAUCUCCAGCAUGGGUCCGACUGAGCAGCCAUGGAGCACUGCAGAGUGGGAGGCAGCAGGGCAGGGAGGCAGUGCUGGAGGCUGGCUCAACCCCAAGACCAGCAGGCCAAGCUGCCAUCCCAGGGGAGCGAGGACGUCUGUGCAGAGCUGAGAGGCAGCAGCCAUAUGUGAACAGACUGGGCCUCAUCCUGGCCCCACCGACUUUGUGUGGACAGAGCCUGUUUCCCUGUCUGUGCAACACAGAACCUGCCUGAUCUCACUGCUGGAUCCCUCUUCUUCCUGCCAGGAAAAUAAAAAGGUUCAAAAGGAAGUUGCUGCGUAUCCAUCUGAGGCCUCUGAGGACAGCAAAGAGCAAAGGCCCUGGGACCGGGUCUCCGUGCCCAUGACAGAGCUCUGGCUGGACUGGUUCUGAGCCUCUAACACCCCCAAGACUCAGAACCGUGAAGAAAAUCUUUCCAAUAAAUCCAAGAGUUGCUGCUGCUAUAGGCCAGGCUGCCACCUUUCGGGGCCUCCGUCUUCAGACAAACCCAGCCUGGCUUCAUCCACACUCCCUGUCCCCACAGCUGCAGGAACAGCACUUCCUGCCACCGAGCCAUGUGACCACAGUGGAUUGUCUCUGGAGGGGCCCAAGGGGGCCCUGGCCACCCUUCUGACUGACUCGGUGCCAGAGGACAGACCAACGUCCCUCUCGUGCUGACAGCCGGGCCGCACCCUGGCAUGAGGGCAUUUACAGAAAUGCUGGCGGAACUGCUGCCAGGGAGGCUGUAGGGUCCUCUGGCAAAAGAGGCCUCAGGUGGCUCCUCAGAGUGUCUGGUUCUCUGUCCCAGGCUGUUCCCUAAGAAGGUCUGCCCAGGACUCAGGUCAUGACCCCCAGGAGACCUGGAGGACUGAAUGCUGCUGUCCCCAAGGAGGAGGCUGCCGUCUUAUCCCAGGAGGGAGAGCAGGUGAAGUCCCCAGGGGAGGAAGCACCUAGCCCCAUUCCUGCUGAGCAGGAGGUGGCAGGUACCCCAGACUGGGAGGUAAGGACAGCCCAGGGCUUCAACUGAACGUCUCCGGCAUGGGUCCGACUGAGCAGCCAUGGAGCACUGCAGAGUGGGAGGCAGCAGGGCAGGGAGGCAGUGCUGGAGGCUGGCUCAACCCCAAGACCAGCAGGCCAAGCUGCCAUCCCAGGGGAGCGAGGACGUCUGUGCAGAGCUGAGAGGCAGCAGCCAUAUGUGAACAGACUGGGCCUCAUCCUGGCCCCACCGACUUUGUGUGGACAGAGCCUGUUUCCCUGUCUGUGCAACACAGAACCUGCCUGAUCUCACUGCUGGAUCCCUCUUCUUCCUGCCAGGAAAAUAAAAAGGUUCAAAAAGAAGUUGCUGCGUAUCCAUCUGAGGCCUCUGAGGACAGCAAAGAGCAAAGGCCCUGGGACCGGGUCUCCGUGCCCAUGACAGAGCUCUGGCUGGACUGGUUCUGAGCCUCUAACACCCCCAAGACUCAGAACCGUGAAGAAAAUCUUUCCAAUAAAUCCAAGAGUUGCUGCUGCUAUAGGCCAGGCUGCCACCUUUCGGGGCCUCCGUCUUCAGACAAACCCAGCCUGGCUUCAUCCACACUCCCUGUCCCCACAGCUGCAGGAACAGCACUUCCUGCCACGGAGCCGUGUGACCACAGUGGAUUGUCUCUGGAGGGGCCCAAGGGGGCCCUGGCCACCCUUCUGAUUGACUCGGUGCCAGGGGACAGACCAACGUCCCUCUCGUGCUGACAGCCGGGCCGCACCCUGGCAUGAGGGCAUUUACAGAAAUGUUGGCGGAACUGCUGCCAGGGAGGCUGUAGGGUCCUCUGGCAAAAGAGGCCUCAGGUGGCUCCUCAGAGUGUCUGGUUCUCUGUCCCAGGCUGUUCCCUAAGAAGGUCUGCCCAGGACUCAGGUAAUCAUAUGCUCAUUAGAAACUCUUGGGCACUGCCUGUGUGCCCAGCCCAGCCCCUUAUGUCGGUGAGGACAGACGUGGAGGACAGCAGUCCCUGCCCUUGGUUGGGGCUCCAGGCCAGCAAGGGCCACAGCCCCAGAAGGCAGAGCAGGAAGACAGGACUCGGGGCAGGUGAAGCAGCCUUCUCGUUGGCAGAAGGGAAACAGAAGCCCAGGGUGGGGAAGGGUGGGCCCGGGGUCACAGGGGGUAAUGGCGGGCCCGGGGUCACACGGGGUAAUGGCAGAGCCAGGACUAGGGUCAGGGUCUCUGGCUCUCAGCUGCCCAUGCCACCUCCUCCUCCUCUGCCCGCCCCAGUGCCUCAUGGGCCCAAGGUUGACUCCCAUCCCUAGGGCAGGCCAGUGGCCCACAGGGCUCAUACAUGGCCCCUGGCCAAGCCUGUGGGCCCUGCCUGACCCCUACUGGGAGGAUGGUACCUAGGGUUGGAGCCAAACAAGUGUUCUCCUCCAGCGCCAGCCUGGCCCCGAGUGCAAACUCGUCACUGGUCAGGGGUCCGGACAGCAGCAUCCCUGAGGGCCCAGAGAGGUGGCCAGUCCUGUGGUGAGGUUGAGAGGGGUCAACGUGCUGGCGGUCCUUGCUUGCUCUCAGCGCCUCCUCGGCCUCAGCAUCUGCUCUGACCACACUUGAGGAGCCCUUCAGCCCAGCGCUGCACUGUAGGAGCCCCUCUCUGGGCUGGUGGAGGCUGGAGCCGGCUCCCUCUGCUUGUGGGGAGGUAUGGAGGGAGAGGCGUGGGCGGGAACCUGGGUUGCUCGCGGGCCAGCACCAGUUCUGGGUGGCCAGGGGCUCAGCGGGCCCUGCACUCACAGCGGCCGGCUGGUGCCUCCGGCCCCAGGCAGUGAGGGGCUUAGCACCUGGGCCAGCAGCUGCAGAGGGGGCGCCGGGUCCCCCAGUACUGCUGGCCGCCGGCACGCACCACACUUGAAUUGUCGCCAGGCCUCAGUUGCCUCCCCGCGGGGCAGGGCUCAGGACCUGCAGCCUGCCAUGCCCAAGCCUCCCUACGGUGGGCUCCCUGCAAGGCCCGAGCCUCCCGGAUGGGUGCCUCCCACUGCUCCACGGCACCUGGUCCCGUCCACUGCCCAAGGGCUGAGGAGUACAGGUGCCCAGUGUGGGACUGGCAGGCAGCUCUGCCUGUGGCCCUGGCAUAGGAUCCACUAGGCGAAGCUGGCUGGGCUCCUGAAUCAGGUGGGGACUUGGAGAACUUUUAUGUCUAGCCAGAGGAUUGUAUAUGCACCAAUCAGCACUCUGUGUGUAGCUCCGGGUUCGUGGAUGCACCAGUUAGCACUCUGUAUCUAGCUAAUCUGGUGGGGACUUGGGGAACCUUUAUUUCUAGCUAAAAGAUUGUAAAUACACCAAUCAGCACUCUGUGUCUAGCUCAAGGUUUGUAAACACACCAAUCAGCACCCUGUGUCUAACUCAAGGUUUGUAAACGCACCAAUCAGUGCUCUCUGUCUACUCUAUCUAGCUAAUCUAGUGGGGACUUGGACAACCUUUAUGUCUAGCUAAGGGAUUGUAAAUACACCAUUCAGCACUCUGUGUCUAGCUCAAGGUUUGUAAAUAUACCAAUCAGCACUCUGUGUCUAGCUCAGGGAUUGUAAAUGCACCAAUCAGCACCCUGUCAAAAUGGACCAAUCAACUCUCUGUAAGUGGACCAAUCCACUGUCUGUAAAAUGGGCCAAUCAGCAGGAUGUGGGUGGAGGGUCAGAUAAGGGAAUAAAAGCAGGCUGCCUGAAGUAGCAGCGGCAACCUGGUUGCCAUCCUUCUUUUGCUGUUUGCAGUAAGUCUUGCUGCUGCUCCCUCAUUGGGUCCACACUGCCUUUAUGAGUUGUAACACUGGAAGGACUGCAGUUUCACUCCUGAGGCCAGUGAGACCACAAACCCACCAGGAAGAAUGAACAACUCCGUACGUGCCGCCUUAAGAGCCGUAACACUCACUGUGAAGGUCUGCAGCUUCACUCCUGAAGCCAGCAAGACCAUGCACCCACCAGAAGGAAGAAACUCUGAACACGUCUUAACAUCAGAAGGAACAAACUCUGAACACACCAUCUUUAAGAACUGUAACACUCACUGCGAGGGUCCACGGCUUCAUUCUUG
rnacentral:lncRNA from 1 species